CCUACGGGUGGCAGCAGUGGGGAAUAUUGCUCAAUGGGGGAGACCCUGAUGCAGCGACGCCGCGUGAGUGAAGAAGGAUCUCGGUAUGUAAAGCCCUAUCUGCCGGGAAGCAAAUGCCGGUACCUGUCUACGAAUCCCCGGCUCACUACGUACCAGCAGCCGCGGUAAUACGUAGGGGGCAAGCGUUAUCCGGAUUUACUGGGUGUAAAGGGAGCGUAGUCGGGAGCGCAAGUCUGGAGUGAAAUCCCAUGGCUUAACCAUGGAACUGCUGUGGAAACUGUGCAGCUGGAGUGCAGGAGAGGUAAGCGGAAUGCCUAGUGUAGCGGUGAAAUGCGUAGAUAUUAGGAGGAACACCAGUGGCGAAGGCGGCUUACUGGACUGUAACUGACGUUGAGGCUCGAAAGCGUGGGGAGCAAACAGGAUUAGAUACCCCAGUAGUC
rnacentral:rRNA from 1 species